UACGGGGGGGGCAAGCGUUGUUCGGAAUUACUGGGCGUAAAGGGCUCGUAGGCGGCCAACUAAGUCGGAUGUGAAAUCCCCAGGCUUAACCUGGGAACUGCAUCCGGUACUGGAUGGCUUGAAUCCGGGAGAGGGAUGCAGAAUUCCAGGUGUAGCGGUGAAAUGCGUAGAUAUCUGGAGGAAUACCGGUGGCGAAGGCGGCAUCCUGGACCGGCAUUGACGCUGAGUGAGCGAAAGCCAGGGGAGCAAACGGG
rnacentral:rRNA from 1 species